GUGCUUAGCUAAUUUAAUCUAAAGAUCGAGAGUUAAGGAUCAAAUAGUAGCCCAAAUUGAUGCAUCUCUUAUCGAAAGGUAAUCAACUAAUAGAUCAUCCUUGUUUAAUGGUACAAAAUUAUACAUAUUAGAAAGCACGCAUGCAUAUCUUCAUUCAAGCACUAGAUUAUGAUCUUUGAAGUAUUAUAAUCAAUAUCCUACACACACCCACAAUCAUGAUAGAUGGCAUUAUCACAUCCAAAUCGAAGAAAGUUUGUGAUGACUUAGAUAAA
rnacentral:lncRNA from 1 species